UGAGCUGAGAGUUUGAUCCUGGCUCAGGACGAACGCUGGCGGCGUGCUUAACACAUGCAAGUUGUACGCUGUAUUUUUC
rnacentral:rRNA from 1 species